GCGGGUUAUCUUAUUUGUACUGUGCUGGAAAUAAACAUGAGAGAGUGUUAAAGAGAGAGUUAGAAAGAGUGAAGUCAAGAAAGGAUGGAAGUCUUGAUGCCUAUUCAUUACCUUCGGCUGGAGUAAACCGAGAGAGGGAGAGAGUGAGAAUACUCAAGUUAUUUGGCUGUUGGAAAAGAAAAAAAAAAGAGAGUUGCUGGAAAAUUCUGUGCCAAGAAGGGAGAAGGAAUUGAACUCAAGGAAGCAAGGGUUUAAAGAAAGGAAAGGGAAAUUCAUCAAGAAACUCAUCAAUCAAGAACUCUAGGGUCAAGUGCAAGGGCGAAUCAAGCACCAGAGCACUGUGUAGGUGAGCAAUUGGAGGAUCAACAUUAGAGUUUGCCUGGGAGCCCGCCUCUUUGUCAAGCCACCCAAGAGUGCCUCUAUGUAGAGGCUUUGUUCUGUUUUGUUUUGUCAAGCUUGGGAUAAUCUUUGUACUUGGUUAGAAGUCCUUUACAUAGAGUGUAAGAUAUGAUAUAAAGUAUGUCUUCGUACAUGUAUAUAUGAAAAUGUGUUAAAAAUAUUUUAAUUACUAUAGUUGAUCAUGUACGCACAGCUCGAUGGACAUCAUCAUUUUGAUUUUGCUUCCGCUUCAAGCCCCGGUAAAAUUAAAUAUUUUGAAAUUUUGUCUUUGAGGCCGUAGAUAAUCUACGGAUUACUGGCCGGUUACGACGCUAAACCUAUAGGGGCGGGUUUGGGUCGUGGCAACCUAACUGGCCCAUCUUCAAAAGACAGCAGAAAGAUCAAAUUACAAUCUAUGCAAUACAUAGUGUAUGGUAAUGCUCUUUACAAAAGGGGAGCAGAUGAGUUGUUAUUGGAAUGCCUAGGGCCAAAGGAGGCACUGACAGCCAUGGCUGAAGUUCAUGAAAGCAUUUGUGGUGCUCAUCAGCCUGGUGUGAAGAUGAGAUGGUUGAUUCGAAGGCAUUCCUACUAUUGGCCAACCAUCCUUAAAAAUUGCAUAGAGUAUGCCAGAGGUUGUCAGGCAUGCCAAAAACAUGGCAUGAUAAGACAUGUACCAAUAACUGAUUUGUAUGCAGUUGUGAAGCCUUGGCUAUUUAAAGGUUGGGCUAUGGAUAUGAUAGGAAAAAUACGCCCACCUUCUUCGAAGCAUCACUGUUUCAUCCUAGUGACCACAGAUUACUUCAUUAAGUGGGUCGAAACUAAAACAUAUAACGCUGUAGAUCAAACUGAAGUAAUUGGAUUUAUUAAAGACCUAAUGCACAGGUUUGGCAUUCCACAGACCAUAACUGUAGAUAAUGAGACUGUAUUUGAUGGAAAGAUGGUAAAAUCUUUCACAGCAGAGUUUGAAAUUAGCCUUGUUAAUUCCACCCCUUAUUAUGCACAAGCAAAU